UCAGGACGAACGCUGGCGGCGUGCUUCAUACAUGCAAGUCGAACGAGAAGCUGACUUCGGUCAGUGGAAAGUGGCGGACGGGUGAGUAAUGUGUAGAGAAUCUGCCCUUUAGUGGGGGACAACAGUUGGAAACGACUGCUAAUACCCCAUAUGCGCGUACUUGAGAUAGUAUUCGUGAAAACUCCGGUGCUAAAGGAUGAGUCUGCAUCUGAUUAGCUAGUUGGCGGUGUAAUGGACCACCAAGGCGACGAUCAGUAGCUGGUUUGAGAGGAUGAUCAGCCACAAUGGGACUGAGACACGGCCCAUACUCCUACGGGAGGCAGCAGUAGGGAAUUUUGCGCAAUGGGGGAAACCCUGACGCAAGCAACGCCGCGUGAUUGAAUAAGCCCUUCGGGGUGUAAAGAUCUGUCAGUGGGGACGAAACUUGAUGGUACCCACAGAGGAAGCAUCGGCUAACUCCGUGCCAGCCGCGGC
rnacentral:rRNA from 1 species